rnacentral:lncRNA from 1 species
GUUCGCGUCCCGCCAGGCCUCAGUUUACUACGUUGGUAAGGGCUUCGGGGAAAGUUUGGAGCUGCCCCCUGUCGGAAGAAUCGGUGUCCCUCGUUGGGGCAGCCCUGCAAGGUGAGUGGUGGGGGGACUAGGCCAGAGGAGCUCUCUUUUCUUUAGUGCCCCCCGCUUCCUCCCGGAUUCCAGAAUUCAUAUCCCGGCAGCUGCAGGCCUACUGUCGGAAUGAAGGGUUGGGACUGACUUGGGGAUACGGAGCGAGGAAAAUGGGGGUCCCCGAUCUCCUGGGAGUUCCCUUAAACUUGCAGCAAAGUCGUGGGCGUGGCGAUGACCACCAGCGGAGCUUCUGGAGUCCUGAGGGCAGGAUUAUGAUGAAUUGGGGAGAGAUAGCUGAUCAAGAAGCUGCCUCUUCACAUCCAGAGCCUGUUGUCUGAGACCCCUCCAGGGCCAACAACAUGAGGUGAGUGCCAGACUCCGUGCCAGCUGUGAGCCAGACACAGGUAUCCUCCCACUCACGGUGGCCCUAACCUGGAUCCUUACCAGGUAAGGCUGCUGGGGCCCAGAGACUGCCCACUGGCUUCCCGAGCUGGCCCCCAAGGCAGCAUAGAAUAAUUGAAGCUUAGAGUGACUGAAAGUACGAGGCAGGCCAGGCCCAGCUCUAAGCUCCUUACACACAUUCACUCUUGGCAGUAAGUUAGGCCCUUUUAUUAUGUAUGUAUUUUAUUAUUUAUUCAUUCACUCAUUCAUUCAUUCAACCAAAGGACAAGGGGAUGCACAGACACGUUCACAAGUUCCCAGGAGGCUGCAUUCAGUCUCAGCCAGGCUACUGGAACAGGAACCGCCCAGACUCUGAAGCCAGGCAGACUGUUUUGCCAUCCUGGUGCCCCCUUUUGCAGGACAGGUGUGGAAACGAGAUGCUGAUGGUUCAUCUUCCUGGCCACCGAGAACACCUGGCCUGGGCCUGCUGCACUGCCCCCUCAGCCCACCUCACCACCUCAGCACAAAAUUCGCCCUGUAAGCAGGACCAUCGGGAGCUCCCAGGAAGGGCCAGGAGCACAGCUGCUCUCGAGCAGAUGAGCCUACAGACACGAGACGGCGGUGGCAGGGAGGGCCUGGCUGAUGUACACCCUACGCAAGGACGAGCACAGAACAUGGCCAAGGUCAGGGACAUGUGGGGUCAGCUGACCAAGUGAGG